GCCUGGGUGGUUCAGUUGUUAAGCAUCUGACUUCAGCUCAGGUCAUGAUCUCAUGGUUUGUGGGUUCAAGUCCCCACAUCAGGUG
rnacentral:tRNA from 1 species